rnacentral:snRNA from 1 species
GGAUGUGAGGCUGCGCUGACCACAGCGUCUGCCACCCCCUUGAUCGCCAGGGUUGAUUGAAGUGAUCUGGCCGGCAAGGCAGGUGUUCCCUUCCUCCCUCACUGCUCCAUGUGUGCCCCUCACGAGGCUGUGUGCUUAGUCUAAGAUGACGUUAAAAAGAACCAGUCUCACCUCCC